UCUAUCCACGGCACAAGAGAACGUGUACAACAUACCCCGUGCGCUGCCAUCUGCCAAUGACACUUCACUUAUCUGAACAAUAUAUUGUGCUUUGGCACCCGUAUUCCACGUUGCAUCUGUAUGUAAUAUCUGCGAUAUUCUGCACUUGGGUUUACACUUCAGGCAGGUUACUUACUAAUGUGUGCACAGCUACCGAUCCUCUCCCACACCCCAUCCGCUGUAGGUCGGUUGCAGGGCAUGGAUAACGAAAUAAAAAACGACAAUGGGGUGGAGAGAGAGAUAAGCACACAGAGAAAAGGGCAGCAAAUUAUGGGAGUGUGCUUACAACCCGCCUCUCACACAUCUACUGUGAGUAAAACAGCAGUCAUUAUUGGAAAGAAAAACAAAGCCCCAUUGAGCACACACUUCAUAACCAGAUUUGGCAAGUAUGAUUUCACUUUGGAAAGAACAAGUUGAAGUAUUGCCUACCAUAUGGUGUUCCUACAUGGCAAUCUAAAGACAAACUUUUUAUUGCAUGAUCAAUAGCUCAAUAGCAUACCAAGAUGAUGAGCUG